rnacentral:lncRNA from 1 species
UUAUGAGUUUCCUUAGUGCUGUAUUACAUGUGAAGUUAAACUUUCCAAAAUUUUAAUCAUUUAAAGGAGUAAUUAGUUGGUAAUAAGAAAGAAUGAGGAGAUAAUAAAAAAUCUUCAUAAGAAGACUCCUUGCUUCCACAAAUAGGAACCAGCAUUUAAGUUGCAUUACAUGCUCAUUUAACUGUGAGGGGCCAGAGAGAGAACAAAUUUAAAUAAUGAAUAUGAUUCCUCUUGUUUGAUGACUGAGAUGGGAGCUGUGAAUUUACUCUUCCCAAAGGCAUCAGUUCUUGCUCACCUCUAGAAGUAUGGACACUGAUCUACUUGAUUGUGGUAAUAAUGUUAGCCCAAUCUCAAUUUCUGCCUUUCACAUUGGUUUUAGAACCUAACCCCUCAGCAGCAUGAUCUCACAGUGUGGUCUGUAAAGGAGAAACAUGAAAAACUUAACAUCCAAAUAAUCAGGGGUCUGGAGCAUUUAAAAAUCCCUCUAUAUUCAUGCUUUAAAGGAAUUUAAAUUUGAUAAUGAAGACAGUACUUCCAAUCUGGUAUCUAGUACUUUUACUUCCCAGCAGCAUAAUACCACUUUGGUCAGGUUGAACCACUGCACAAUUUUGCAGCUCUUUCAGAAAAAUAAUGAAAACAAUUAGAAAGACACAAUCACAUGCAAUGGUGAGAAAAUAGUAUUACUAUCGCCCAAUCUUUCCCCAUAAAUCUGAAACAUCCUUGACUCAUCUCCACACUGUGUAAUUAUGAUAAGCCCUUAUAGCAAGGGAUUUUGUUUCUUUCAGGUUUUUUUGUAGCACCAAAUAGACACAGUGGCUAACAACAAAUAAUUCUGAAAAGUCAUUGCAAUAUUUAUCGCAUGUCAGAAACUGUCUGAAUCUGUAUGUUUAUCCAUUUCCCUGGCUUGAUAUAUUCUUCAUGAGAGUAAGCUGCAACAUAAGAUUGAGUUCCCACUCUGUUUCUGCCACUGCUGUGGUUUGCUGAUCACACUUCACUAAUCUCUUUGUAUACUACAAUUUCAAAGUACUUUUUAUAUACAGUGACACAUUUAUUUUAAUGUAAUGGUAUCCCCCAAGCCACAGAA